rnacentral:tRNA from 1 species
GUUCUCAUAGUUGAAUAACAACGGCGGUUCUUCAAGUCACUGGUCUCAGUUAAAAUCUGAGUGAGAAUU